rnacentral:other from 1 species
GCGAGGCUGCGCGGUGCGACAGGAGAUCACAUUCCCCGGGGCCUUAUCGAUCCAAAAGGGAGCUGUCCCUGACCGGAGCCCUGGUUCCGGACAUACGGCGCCCACCUACGCUGUAGGUUCCCGGGAUCGAUCACUCCAUCGGCCCAUCGUGGCUCGCC